GCGACCUGUAUGCAUUUGAUGCAGGUUCGUGAUAGUUACUCAAAAGACCAAUCCACGUUCUGCCAUAUUGCCUUCCACCCGUUCGACGAAAUACCGCCAUCUCCGAGGGCGUCGCCACCGGCCUGCCCGACCAACUCACCGUCGCCAUGACCGCCAGUUGAGCCGACUACGCCUAGGAGAAGCCAUGAAUUGGAUCUUGGUUGGCCGCAUUUUCUAGAUGAAGUUACUGGUCAUAGCCAAAUACUUAUCACUAUAUGUACGAUGAACUUCGUUACACAGUUUCUAGCUACAGAGAAAACGGCGCAUUUGGGGCUGAUGGCAAAUUGAAGCAAACUGUUUGUCUUAAACCAGAAUUGGAUACUUCUAUUUUUGCAUCGGCAUAUAUUACUUAAGUGAUUCUGCAAGAUGCUCAUUAUACUCUUGGUUGUUCCGCCUCAAUGAGGCUCCUAGGUUAGCCGAUUGUGAGCCUGAUGAGUUCGAGAAGCUCUGCACAAAGUGUGAGGGAGAGGUGGAGGACUCGUUGUGAACAAAAUUCUCUUGCAUGGCUUGACUGAGAUGGGUCUUCGAUCGUCUGCCCAGAAUAAUGUGAUACGUUAUGAAGAUGGUUCUCCAUAUCAAUGAAAAGCAAUUUACAAUUUAGGUUCCAGAAAGAAACUUGCAUUCUUAAUAUGUAGGAUCUUUUUCUUGGAUUCAUAUAUUACAUUUCAAAAUUCUAAUGUUAGAACCAUCAGAAGAUUCAAAGGACCCUCGUUGACAUGGCAGUUGCAGAUGCUAUAUGGAUAUUAGAGACAGUCUUAAUAUUCAUGUGGACCAAUCCAAUUCUGGGAAACUGAUAUCAUUACAUUUAUAUUUUCGGUCUCAGGUGUAUCAGCUUUAUGCUUCAUCUUAUUAGCAUUAGCUUGUCUCUGACUGAAGUUUACAGUUUUUCCUGCUCUAACUAUUAGAACAUUUGGUGCAUAAUAUUUCAACUUUUGGUUGUGAAGGAUCUCAAAACUGGGAUGUCUUAUUUCCUUGCUGCUGUUGAUAAAACUAAGCAAGUGGAGAAUGAUGAUGAUUUGAAGGCCAGAGUUGAUCUGAUUGUUUGUUCUUUGGAAACCUGCAACGACUGGCAUACAUAAGACUGUUGGUUUAUGGUGGAAGUCAAAUUAAAUGGCUCCCGAUGAAGUAUCAUGAAGCUUUUGUGGCCUUUUAUAAGGCUAUAUCUGAUGGAAGGCACAAGCCUUCGUAUAUGAUAGUAUCUGUCCAUCUACUGCAUCUACCUUAUCGUUGUAUCAGCCUUGUCAUUGCCCGAGACGCCAAGGCAUAGAUGAUGUUGAAUUUUUUUGCAUUAUUGACCUCAUCAUGCUUUGCCAUCUUA